CUUCAUUCGUCUCCGACUGUCUUCGUUUGAUUUCUCUCACCGAAAACCUUCUGCACUCUAUUGUCGCCACCAAAGCUGCAUGUACCCUGUUGUUGUUUGGGAAUUUCGACAUGUUGGAGUUGUUAGACAGAGAAUCAAAUGACUGAUACACAUUAUUCAUCUACAGCCCCUUUAUUAGAGCCCAUAAGGUAGCAUUUUUAUUGGCAUAAUUUUUUACAUUUUUAAUCGCAAUGCAUAUUUAAGAAAAAAAAAAUUGAAGUACAACAGUAGAUUGGGUAUUUUUUUUCACACAAGUGAAGACCAAAGGAUUGCAUGAAAUAUAUGCCUUUAUCUAGGGGGCUUCAUAUUUAAAUCGCUGAGCUUAGAGGUAAGCAUCUCAUAAAUUCUAAUUUUCCUUAUAAUUUUGAGUUUAACAUUGUAAUUUUCAAUGUCAUUUCUGUUACUGUUUAAUGUCAUAAUUAUGAGUCAGCUACAGAAAAAACGUUUAGCAUCAAACUUUGUUGACUUUCAUAAUACGCAUUUUAUGUUUAUUUUUAAAAGUCUAUUUCUCGCUUUCACCGGUUUAUAUUAAUUACGUAAUGUUGUAUCAACAUCUUGACGGAUAAAAUAUAUCAAAAAAAAGUAUGUUGUUAUUUUUUUCCUUUGGUUGCCAAGUUUUACCUGAAAGAACAUUUUCAUUGAGUUUUACAUAGGACUGUCAAAUCGGGCAGUCGUGUCGUGUUUUUGUCUGACACGACAAGGUUUUGUAUAACACGAACACGACACGACACGAUGUCGUGUUUUUUUUCAUUAACACGAAAACGAACCAAUUAAAACACGACAACACGACACGACAUGACAAAUAUAAUAUUACAUAACUAUUAGUGUAUUUCGUUCAUACUUAAAGAUAUAUAACACGACAAAAACGACAAACAAGAAAAACACGACAACCACAUGCUUAAUCGUGUCAUUUUCGUGUCGAUUUAUGAACACGAACACGACACGACACGACAUCGUGUUUUUUAAUCUUGACACGAAAACGACACGAACACGAAUUCAAAUUUUGAUUUCGUCCCGAUUUCGUUUCGUAUAUUUUUUUCGUGUCGUGUCAUAAAUUGACACCCUUAGUUUUACAUAAGGUUUUUGCUGUAAUUUUUAUUAAAUCCGUUAUAGCCGUCAAAAGGGACUUAUAUAUUCAUACAAGUGAACAAACGAUAGAAGAAAGUUAAGUCAGUUGUCAUGUUGAUUCUUCAUAAUCUACAUCAACGUGGCGAUCCUCCUGAGGAUACACACUUGCAUAAAUAUAACAUUGUCCUGCAUGGACACAUCUUCACCUUUUCAAUUUGAGAUUACAUAAUUCAUAUAUGUCGGCCUUGUGUGGAUAGUUUAAAGGAAAUCAUUUUUAUGACGUAUCCUUCCUUGAGAUUUGCCUGGACUGCCUCCAUAACGUCGCCCAUCUGUUGGAGGUGCUCAAUCAUUGCUUGAAACAUGUUCUGCAUAUGUUUGGUUUUCAUUUUUUCUGUUUAUAGAGUUGAUGUAAAAGGUGAUGUUCUAUAAUGCAAAUGAACUGUUUAUUUGAGUGGUUGCUUAUGCAAUCCUUUUUAUGCAGACAAGUGAU